rnacentral:rRNA from 1 species
AUAAGGUUAAGUUAAUAAGGGCGCACGGUGGAUGCCUUGGCACUAGAAGCCGAAGAAGGACGUGACUAACGACGAAAUGCUUUGGGGAGCUGUAAGUAAGCGCUGAUCCAGAGAUGUCCGAAUGGGGGAACCCACUAGUUAAUGACUAGUAUCCAUAUCUGUUAAGGAUAUGAGAAGGAAGACGCAGUGAACUGAAACAUCUAAGUAGCUGCAGGAAGAGAAAGCAAAAGCGAUUGCUUAGUAGCGGCGAGCGAAACGGCAGGAGGGCAAACCGAAGUGUUUACACUUCGGGGUUGUAGGACUGCGAUAUAGGAUUAAUCAUUAUAGAAGAAUUACCUGGGAAGGUAAGCCAAAGAGAGUAACAGCCUCGUAUUUAAAAUGAUAGAUUAACCUUAGCAGUAUCCUGAGUACGGCGAGACACGCGAAAUCUCGUCGGAAUCUGGGAGGACCAUCUCCCA